rnacentral:rRNA from 1 species
UACAGAGGGUGCAAGCGUUGUUCGGAAUUAUUGGGCGUAAAGGGCGCGUAGGCGGUGCUGUAAGUCUGUGGUGAAAUCUCUGGGCUCAACUCAGAGUCUGCCAUAGAAACUGCAGUGCUGGAGUGUGGGAGAGGUGAGUGGAAUUCCCGGUGUAGCGGUGAAAUGCGUAGAUAUUGGGAAGAACACCAGUGGCGUAGGCGACUAGCUGGGCCAUAACUGACGCUGAGGAACGAAAGCCAGGGGAGCGAAUGGG